rnacentral:rRNA from 1 species
AAACUUAAAUGAAUUGACGGGGGCCCGCACAAGCGGUGGAGCAUGUGGUUUAAUUCGACGCAACGCGCAGAACCUUACCAACCCUUGACAUGUCCAGUAUGGUUUCCAGAGAUGGAUUCCUUCAGUUCGGCUGGCUGGAACACAGGUGUUGCAUGGCUGUCGUCAGCUCGUGUCGUGAGAUGUUGGGUUAAGUCCCGCAACGAGCGCAACCCUCGCCUUUAGUUGCCAUCAUUAAGUUGGGCACUCUAGAGGGACUGCCGGUGAUAAGCCGGAGGAAGGUGGGGAUGACGUCAAGUCCUCAUGGCCCUUACGGGUUGGGCUACACACGUGCUACAAUGGCGGCGACAAUGGGCAGCGAAGGGGCGACCCGGUGCAAAUCCCAAAAAGCCGUCUCAGUUCGGAUUGUACUCUGCAACUCGAGUGCAUGAAGGUGGAAUCGCUAGUAAUCGCGUAACAGCAUGACGCGGUGAAUACGUUCCCGGGCCUUGUACACACCGCCCGUCACACCAUGGGAGUUGGUUUUACCCGAAGCUGGUGCGCUAACCGCAAGGAGGCAGCCAACCACGGUAAGGUCAGCGACUGGGGUGAAGUCGUAACAAGGUAGCCCUAGGGGAACCUGGGGCUGGAUCACCUCCUUUCUG